rnacentral:rRNA from 1 species
AUGAUUAGAGAAGUCUCAGUUAUUUCUUGGAAUAUUCGAGGCCUAGGUAGACACAAAAAGUGCACCGACGUAAAAGCAACUCUCUCCUCGGCGCCUUGCUCUUUGCUUUGCCUACAGGAGUCAAAGCUCCAAGACAUUUCCAACUUUAAAGCUAUUUCUUUUCUUCCUCCAAAUCUUCGCAACUUCCAUUUCAUUCCAGCUAUCCGUUCUGCUGGGGGAAUUCUUACCGCAUGGGACGACAAUUUUCUCUCCUGCUACAAAGUGCUCGCGGACACUUUUGCCCUUACCUGUUGGUUUAUAUCGCGCUCGGAUGACCUCUCGUUUGCCAUUACUAACGUCUACGGCCCUUGUGACCAUGCCUCUAAACCUACCUUCUUGCAAUCCCUGGUGAACCUCAAGCAUCAGAUCUCCUGUCCUUGGACUGUCAUUGGUGAUUUCAACAUCACCCUUAGGCCGUCAGACAAAUCCACGACGCAUUUCAAUAUGCUGGAGGCUAACCUUUUCGCCUCAACCAUAAAUACUCUCCAGCUUCAGGAUCUCCCUCUCCUUGACAGACGCUACACUUGGUCGAACCAGCAGGAUGUGCCCAUUCUUGUUCGGCUUUAUUGGGCGCUGGCAAGUGUUGGCAGGGCCACAAAAUUCCUGGAUACUUCUCUUUCAUCUAUCGCCAGGACAACCUCUGAUCACGUCCCCAUCCGACUAUCGGCAGCCACUUCCAUCUUUUCCGCCUUGACCGCACUCUCCUCAAUAUUCCUUUAUUCAAGGAACGGGUGGCGGCAAAUUGGGGUAGCUGGGUCCGCGGCAUGCCCACCUUGGAUCGGCUGGAACUCUUUCCCUCAAGUUAAAGUGUACCAGGGAUAUGGCCAAAAAGUGGCUGUCCAGUCGCAGAUCUCCUAG